UGGGGAAUAUUGCGCAAUGGGCGAAAGCCUGACGCAGCAACGCCGCGUGAGGGAUGACGGCCUUCGGGUUGUAAACCUCUUUCAGCAGGGAAGAAGCGAAAGUGACGGUACCUGCAGAAGAAGCACCGGCUAACUACGUGCCAGCAGCCGCGGUAAUACGUAGGGUGCAAGCGUUGUCCGGAUUUAUUGGGCGUAAAGAGUUCGUAGGCGGUUAGUCACGUCGGAUGUGAAACCCCGGAGCUUAACUCCGGGCCUGCAUUCGAUACGGGCUGGCUCGAGUAUUGUAGGGGAGACUGGAACUCCUGGUGUAGCGGUGAAAUGCGCAGAUAUCAGGAAGAACACCGGUGGCGAAGGCGGGUCUCUGGGCAAUUACUGACGCUGAGGAACGAAAGCGUGGGGAGCAAACAGG
rnacentral:rRNA from 1 species